rnacentral:rRNA from 1 species
UGCCAGCCGCCGCGGUAAUACGGAAGGUGCAAGCGUUGUUCGGAAUUACUGGGCGUAAAGCGCACGUAGGUGGGUUUAUAUGUCGAUUGUGAAAGCCCCGGGCUUAACCUGGGAAUUGCAGUCGAAACUGUAGAUCUUGAAUACCUGAGAGGGUGGGGGAAUUCCUGGUGGAGAAGUGAAAUUCGUAGAGAUCAGGAGGAACACCUGAGGCGAAGGCGCCUGCCUGGCAGAGUAUUGACGCUGAGGUGCGAAAGCGUGGGGAGCAAACAGGAUUAGAUA